UUAGUUCCCUUAAAAACAAGAUGUCUAAUGCCAGUUGAAAUACCAGAUUUUGGAAGGUGGCAGAUACUACACCUAGUCUUCAGUCUAGAUCAAAGAUAUAUGCUUAAGGAUGUGAGCAGCUCAGGGGAAUUGCUAAGAACGAGUUAGAGAUAGCUGCUUUGGGGAAAACAGGACUCAGGUGAACAAAGAGACUAGGGGGCAUGUAUGCCAUAUAAAAGCUUUAUUUUCUUGAACCUGGUGCUAAUACUUUGGAAGUCACAGUAAACAAUAUCAAGCAUUGCCAGGUUGGAGGCUAGCUGAAGGUCACAGGGUGNUCUCAUUUAUGGAGAGACUCUCUGCUUUCUAAGAUGGUCUGAGGAGUGGAUUCUAACUUUGUAAUCUGGUUUUUCAGAUGUUCUUAAAAUAUAAACAUCAAAGUCUAAUAAGUAAAAAUUGAAGCAAAUUCCAGUCACCAGAAGCAGAAUGAAUUAAAGCAUGUUUUACUGGAAUAUACUUUGUUUCUCCUGCCCAUCCUGUGAUUGUUCAAUUAUUCAUUUGAAGAAAUGAAGGGAGCUCCAUGGAAAAACAGAGAUAUUGCCUGUGUUCUGUUUUAUAAACACUCUGUCUACACACUGAACCUAUUUGGAGAGAGAUGAUGCAAUACUGUAUGUAUUUGGUUAGGGGACGACUCCCAAAAUUGCUUAUCAUUCAGUAAUUGGAUUCACUACUAGGUAUUGAGCUCUAAAUUCAUCAGGGAGCCUGGAGGAGAAGAUAGAAAUUGAUUUAGCGUCCAUACUUACCUGUCACCUAAGCACAGAUGUUUAGUGAGCCUGAAUACUAUCGCCAGUGCAUCUUCUACUGAUUGCUGCUUUGGCAAAAAGGAAAAUUAGCCACCGAUGUUCCAAAUACCACUUCAUUUUAAUGCCUGGUAUGUGAGUGUUCUCUAGCAAUGUUUGGAGGCAAUGUGAGAAAAUGUGUGGGAAAACAAAGGUAAUUAAGGGUUUAAAAUGUCAAGGGAGACAACAAAUCCAUUUAGAGGUGGGAAUAACAACAUGAAAGUAUUUAAUUCAGUGUCAAUGGACAUUGAGUGCUAUGGACUUAGAUUGGUACAUAAGUUAGGACAGGGGGGUUUCGGGGAGGGAUAUAACAGGUACGCAUGAUGCUGACAGAAAAGCAGUUACAGGUACUUAGGUGUACAGGACUAGCUGGCUCAUCUCUCCCUUGCUUUCUCCUGGCUCAUUUUUAGCCAACUGAAAAGGGAGAGAGGGGUACUCACAAGCUGGAGCAGAGACUUUAGAAAAAGUUGGAGAAGAGGUGAGCCCAGGAUAAUAUCAUAAUGCUUCUAUUAGUGAUUUAUUUACAGAGCUCUUCAGUUUGACGAUGGAAACAGGGUUGAAAGGCAGAAUGGUCAUGAGCCUAGGCUGGGGAGUCAGACAACUGAAGAUUCAAAUCCCAGCUCCACUACUAAUGGGUUGUGAUUCUGAAUUUUAUCUCAUAGUAUUUUUUUCUCAUCUGUGAAAAGGGGGAAAUAGUGGCAAUUGUAUCUUAGGGUUCAGAAGACUUAAAGGAUUAAACCAGGUUAAAGCAAGGUUAAGGUAGUAAAGCUAGGAGGCAGAAGAUGUUCAGGCAUGGAAUGGAAAGGGAGUUGAGAGGAUGUUUUCAAAUUUGAGUCUGCAUAAGAAUCACUUGCGGUUCCUGUGAAAAAUGUUAAUUCCCAAGCCUCAGCCCCAGGAAUUGAGAUUUAGUAGCUCUGGGACCAAAGAAGCUCCCCCUUCCCCCCAAAAAAAACUUUUAAUUUUGGAAUUUUUUGCAAAUCUAAAGUUAUCCAAGAUUUUAAAAAGUUGCAAACGUUACUCAUCAGCAUCAUAUAUUUUUACAGGAUGUUAUAGUUGUAACACUUGUUACAACUAAGAAGUCAGUGUUGGCACAUUACAGUGACCUCCAGGCAUCAGAUUUUCUACCAAUGUUCCUAUCUGUGCAGAACCCAAUCCAGGAUACCACUGCAUUUAUUGAAGAUUCAUGUUUCACAGGCACUUUUGGCUGAUGAGGCAGGUGGUUUGCAGAUCAAAUCUUGAGAAGACCUGGGACACUAAAAGGACUGAACAAAAUCAAAUCGCCCCAUCCCCUAGCUGAGGAGUUGAAUGCAAUUUUAAAGCAGAAGGGGGUGGAGUUUUGGAAAUGGAAUCCUCUCCAUUAGUUCCCUUAAAAACAAGAUGUCUAAUGCCAGUUGAAAUACCAGAUUUUGGAAGGUGGCAGAUACUACACCUAGUCUUCAGUCUAGAUCAAAGAUAUAUGCUUAAGGAUGUGAGCAGCUCAGGGGAAUUGCUAAGAACGAGUUAGAGAUAGCUGCUUUGGGGAAAACAGGACUCAGGUGAACAAAGAGACUAGGGGGCAUGUAUGCCAUAUAAAAGCUUUAUUUUCUUGAACCUGGUGCUAAUACUUUGGAAGUCACAGUAAACAAUAUCAAGCAUUGCCAGGUUGGAGGCUAGCUGAAGGUCACAGGGUGAAGCUAGAAUGGACUGCUUGUGGGAGGGUCCCAAAGGGCUGAAGCAGCAGGUGAGUGAACACCUUUAGAGGAAUCAGCUCUCACACUGAGCUACAUACAAGAGACACCAUCUUGGGAUUGCAGGUAAAGGAUUGCAUUGGGAAGAUGAAGCAGUAGAUUGUAAGACAAAUUUCUGUGUCCUUUGAGGUAUUUACAGAAGAUACUACUUAUAUCUUACUAAGGACCUUAGGGUCUGGGACUAUCACACCAAAUCUUCCUAAUCUCAUUGAAAUUGCUUAGUCCUUAAAAAACAGUUAAAAUAACCACCCAUCCUUUUACCCCACUGGAUUCCAGAUUCCUCUUAAUUUCUGAUUUCACUUUCCUGAGGUGCAGGAAGAACAAAUAAAGCACAAACUGGUAUUCUUAAACUUUAUCUCACGGCUAAGGAUGCAUUUUCCACUUGCCAAACCCAUAUAGAAUAGUUCAGUGAAAACUGCCUUAGAAACCAAAUGUAUUGCCCCUUGUACUAGGGAAAGGAGCCUUACUGAAGAGCUCCUGGAUCUUUUGUAUUGUUUGCUGGCAGUGUUAGGCCUUCAAGGUUAAGUGUCUGGCUGUUAGAAUUAUGAUGAUCUAAUGAUAGACUGCUUGACAAUCUACAGAUUUUGCAUGCAAACAAGCAGUAACUUGGGUUAUUUUUCUGCCAGCUGUUAAGUACUUUUCCAAGUAGUACUAUUCUCAAGAAUGGGUGAGGAAACAAUUUACUGUCAUCUUAAACAUGGUUA
rnacentral:lncRNA from 1 species